rnacentral:tRNA from 1 species
GACACUGCGCCGGAUGAACGGAUAACUCUGAUGACGUUAAAUAUGGGUAACUCCCUGUGUCU